UACGGAGGGGGCAAGCGUUGUUCGGAGUUACUGGGCGUAAAGGGCACGCAGGCGGUCUUGCCAGUCAGGGGUGAAAGCCCGGGGCUCAACCCCGGAACUGCCUCUGAUACUGCAGGACUAGAGACUAGGAGAGGGUGGUGGAAUUCCCAGUGUAGAGGUGAAAUUCGUAGAUAUUGGGAGGAACACCAGAGGCGAAGGCGGCCACCUGGACUAGAUCUGACGCUCAGGUGCGAAAGCGUGGGGAGCAAACAGG
rnacentral:rRNA from 1 species